rnacentral:rRNA from 1 species
AUGCACGCUGGCGGCGUGCCUAAUACAUGCCAGUCGAGCGAACAGACGAGGAGCUUGCUCCUCUGACGUUAGCGGCGGACGGGUGAGUAACACGUGGAUAACCUACCUAUAAGACUGGGAUAACUUCGGGAGACCGGAGCUAAUACCGGAUAAUAUAUUGAACCGCAUGGUUCAAUAGUGAAAGACGGUUUUGCUGUCACUUAUAGAUGGAUCCGCGCCGCAUUAGCUAGUUGGUAAGGUAACGGCUUACCAAGGCAACGAUGCGUAGCCGACCUGAGAGGGUGAUCGGCCACACUGGAACUGAGACACGGUCCAGACUCCUACGGGAGGCAGCAGUAGGGAAUCUUCCGCAAUGGGCGAAAGCCUGACGGAGCAACGCCGCGUGAGUGAUGAAGGUCUUCGGAUCGUAAAACUCUGUUAUUAGGGAAGAACAAAUGUGUAAGUAACUAUGCACGUCUUGACGGUACCUAAUCAGAAAGCCACGGCUAACUACGUG